AAGGAGCUCACAGUCUAUUGAGU
rnacentral:ncRNA from 2 species